CAACCAUCAAGCCCCCGGGCUUGUGUUGGGGACCUGCGGCUGCCGCAGGCCCUGAAAAGCAGUGGCGGGCUCGCUGUCACACCGAGCGUAGUAGCAUAUAUCUCGCUCUGGGCGUGCUGCGGGUUCCGGCCGUUAAACCACCUUUUAACCCAA
rnacentral:misc_RNA from 2 species